rnacentral:lncRNA from 1 species
CCUCCUGCCACUUCCUGUGGGGAGGCUGGAAUACUGCAUACACUACCACAAGGUUCCAAGAAUGGGAACAAUUUGCAUAGAUCCAGGAUGGCUAACCCCCAAGUGGGGCUCAGAGCAACUGAGAUUCACAGUGUGAGGUCCAGGCUGCUUCCAGCCAAGCUAGACCUGCCUUCUCUUCCAGGAACCAAAUAAGCACUAAAAUUCUGCCCAAGAUGUUUCUGAACUUCCCUCUUUUUCCCUUGGCAUUUCAUCCUAUUCAACAAGCCCUGUCCUUCGAUUCUGGUGCCUAAUCUUCCUUUCCUCCCAAGGAUUUAGGGAUAUUCAAAAAUAUGUUUUCCAUCAAGUAUCUAAGGAGUCAGAAUGUACCUUUCCUUGUGUAGCACUUCUCACACCAAUAAAAUGGGUUAGUGGAUUUGUCCCCUUGGUGAAAAAGCAGGAGUGAUGACCGAAACCCUUGACAGCACAUAAAGCAUGGUGCUCAGCCACCCAGAUGGACGCUGGCCAGUAUGUGAGAUCAGCACAGACUGCAGAAUGUCGCCGCAUCAUGAAUGAGGACACUGCCCGGUGACCAGUCUCCAGGUUGGAAGAUUCCUCCCUUGUCCCUGCCUUUCCUAAAAAAAGAAACCAGCUCAUUGCAGCCUGAGGCUCUUUCUUUUAGAGGAUUCCUCCUUUCCUCUUCUGGAAGUUCGAGCGAUAGUCUUUUUAAGACUCAGAUAUACCUUUGACUCUGCUCUGCCUGCCUGUGCCCUGGGACCUGACCUCCAUGGCCUGCAUCUCUUGGGCUUUCUUGUCCUCUGGCUUCCAUUUGUCUUCAAUGGAUGUACCAGCAGGAAACCAGAGAUCCAGAGGAGAGAGCAGUUAGAAUGUUUACUCUGAUGGCUGCAGAUUUGGCAGUGGCUGCAUUCCUCAAUCUAUGGCCACAUCUCCUGGUGGGUGGCCUCUUUCCCAUGACGAUGGGCUCACUGGCUUCCACUAACACUGCUCCCUCCCCUUGUCCCUUUGUGCCUAGGGGAGGGGAAGUCUUCUCACUCUUGCUAAUUCCUGAGUACUUAACCAUUUAUUGUUGAGUCCAUUAAUCCUGCCAGCACCUGUGUCAACAGUCUUUCCAUUAAACUCGCUUCAGU